rnacentral:rRNA from 1 species
UACGGAGGGUGCAAGCGUUAUCCGGAUUCACUGGGUUUAAAGGGUGCGUAGGUGGGUCUGUAAGUCAGUGGUGAAAUCUUCGAGCUUAACUCGGAAACUGCCACUGAUACUACGGAUCUUGAAUUUUCUGGAGGUAAGCGGAAUAUGUCAUGUAGCGGUGAAAUGCUUAGAUAUGACAUAGAACACCAAUUGCGAAGGCAGCUUACUACGGGAACAUUGACACUGAUGCACGAAAGCGUGGGGAUCAAACAGG